rnacentral:misc_RNA from 1 species
AACGCAUAUUGCGCCCGAGGCUUCGGCCAAGGGCAUGUCUGCCUCAGCGUCGGGUUAAAAUCACACACUCAUUCCCCUGGGAAUAAGUAUGUGGAUCUGGUUGUUCCAGCGUGGUGGCAAGGAUUCAUUCCAAGCCAACUAUACCUGCUGGAUCAGCUGAAGUGCAGAGGCUAACCAAGGACCCGCUAAGGGCCGCAACUGGGUAGGCAAACAGCUUCGGCUGGUACUGCUAUUCUUAGUUGUUGGUCUGGGACCAUGUGUGAGCCCUCAAACAGGAAUUAACCCUAUUUUUCUCGACCUGAGCUCAGGCAAGAACACCCGCUGAACUUAA